AGUGCAGUGCUAUCUCAGCUCACUGCAAGCUCCGCCUCCCGUCAGGUGUGGGUUGAACUCUGCUCCUCCCUAGGAAGGAAGUCUCAAGCUUGGCCUAGGCUUUGAGAAUUCUGGGGGGCAGAGCGUGAGGUCCGAAAGGGGCUGUUGUGGCAGGCAGGGCGGCCACAACAGCCCUUUUGCUCUGUUGUGUGGGUGCAGCCGGGAGUCAGCCGGAACGUUGAGCCUGGCAGGGAGAGUGGACCCGCGCAGAGCUCAGUCUAGAUGGCUGGGAGGCUUGUGGGGAGAAGACGGUUGAGUCCUGACAGGGCCAGACCCCAGGGCAGGUUUGGACUGCCAUUUUGGGCCAAGGUGAGCGGAAGGUGGCUUUGGGGGCGGGCAAGUGGGCAAGACUGGGCGAGAGGCCUCACCCUCACACUGGAGCAAACCAGGGCAUUGCCUCCAAAUUCUCACACCUCUUUGGAUUGGUUUGCUUUUAAAACUUGAUUUUACUUGUUUCUCUUUCUAAAAAUACCACUUGCUCAUUAUGUUAAAAAAUACAGAGGAAGCCUAAAGAAAGAAAAAAUCAUCCUUGACCUUACCACACUGCAGGUCCUUUUUCUGUCCUGUUGGAGGAUGAUGUGGAUCCUGCCAGGUGCUCUGGAAGGGGCCAUGCAGGCCUCCCUGUCUGCCUGAGCAGUGAGGGGUGCAUCUUAGCAUAGUUUGCCAGCAUCCCAUUUGCACCCACUCCCGCUCUCCUCUGACCCUCCAAGGACCCUCUCCGGGAGGUAGGCGUGCUAGGGUCGCUAUUUGUAAAUUUGAGGCGGCAGUGGCAUCAUACUUGAGUUCUGUAACUACAUGAGGGCACGAUUAGGGCUCAGUGCUGAUCCUGGCUCCCACUCUGGUGCUCUGUCACUGAGGAGCCUCCUUUGGGGGCCAUUCUUCUGUGAGUUUUGCUUAACUACAUGGGGGUGGCUGUAUGCCAUGCUGAAGGCUUUUCCCCCACCCUUCUAUUAAAUCGAGUUCCUGCUCCUUCUCCCAGGCUCGGCUUGUGGGACCUUUGUGUCAGCCUGCUCUUGGCAACAGCGGGCCUCUCUCUCCCAGCUCUGGGCCUCCCCACUCUCCAGCCCCUGCAGUGGGAGUGGGUCCCCCUCACGGGGAGGGGCCUUGGCAGGAGCUGAAUGCUGGCAGGGCUGCGGCCUGUGGGCAUGUGAUUGAAAGUGCUCCGGCUCCCGGGGUCAGCAUGGCUCAAAGCCUCCCAGCCCCAUGGGAAACACUCGGGGCGGCGCUCUCACUCAGACCCUCUCUUCCACCCUGGCCCCCUGGUGGUAUCCUGGCUCCACAGUGGCUCUUUCCUCUCAGCUGAAAGGACAGUCCCGCCUGCCGGCCGGCGACUUCCACAUUAGCAACAACACUGGUGGGGGUAAUAAUGUUAUAGGAGCUCCCACAGUGCUGGGAACUGCACAUGGCCAGGAACGUGGGUCCUCUGCAGCCCUGGGGACAGCUGCCCACAACAGGGCUGCUACCUUCUGGGGCUGGCUUUCUGCUUGCUUUAUGGGCUCAGAGUGAAUCUUCUGGAGAUGAGAUGCACACUCAUAGCAUUCAGAGCUCAUUCCCUCAUGCAUUCAACAAAUUGAAUAUUCUUUAUGUGCCAGGCACUGGGCUAGGUACUGAGGUUCAGUGUGAACAAGUCAGGCAGGGGCCCUGCCUUCAGGCAUCUGCUUGUGGGUGUGGACACUAAACAAUGGCCGAGGUAGGUAACUGCAGAUCUGGGUAUGUGAUAGGAAGGGAGAGUGCAGGACUUGAUCAGUAUAAAAAAGAGGUCUAAUUUAGAUGCCAGGGGAAAGAGAGAGCUUCUUUGAGGAUGUGACAGAUAACCUGAGGACUGAACAUAUGAGUUGCAUUGACUGGAGGAAGAACAUGCUAGAAAGAACAGCAUUUGCAAAGACCCUGAGCCAGGAAGAAACUUGAUGCUUUUGUGGAAGUGAGAGGGGGCCUGUACUGCUGGAGUUCUCUGUGUUUGGAAGAGCGGGUGGUAUGAGGUGGGCAGGGGCAGCCAGGAACUCGAGGGCUGUGGGAACGCUAUGGUCACCAUCCUCAGAGUCCUAGAACGGUUUAAGCGGGGAAAGAAUAUGGUCUUUUUUUUUUUUUUUNNNNNNNNNNNNNNNNNNNNNNNNNNNNNNNNNNNNNNNNNNNNNNNNNNNNNNNNNNNNNNNNNNNNNNNUCUCAGCUCACUGCAACCUCCGCCUCCUGGGUUCAAGCGAUUCUCAUGCUUCAGCCUCCUGAGUAGCUGGGAUUACAGGCACCCACCACCAUACCUGGCUAAUUUUUGUAUUUUUACUAGAGACAGGGUUUCACCACGUUGGCCAGGCUGGUUUCAAACUCCUGACCUCAGGUGAUCCACCCACCUCGGCC
rnacentral:lncRNA from 1 species